AUUGAACGCUGGCGGCAGGCCUAACACAUGCAAGUCGAACGCGUGGCGGACGGGUGAGUAAUGUGUGGGAAACUGCCCGAUGGAGGGAGAUAACUACUGGACACGGUAGCUAAUACCGCAUACCAUCGGAUGUGCCCAGAUGGGAUUAGCUAGUAGGUGGGGUAACGGCUCACCUACGCGACGAUCCCUAGCUGGUCUGAGAGGAUGACCAGCCACACUGGAACGGAGACACGGUCCAGACUCCUACGGGAGGCAGCAGUGGGGAAUAUUGCACAAUGGGCGCAAGCCUGAUGCAGCCAUGCCGCGUGUAUGAAGAAGGCCUUCGGGUUGUAAAGUACUUUCAGCGAGGAGGCGUUACUCGCAGAAGAAGCACCGGCUAACUCCGUGCCAGCAGCCGCGGUAAUUC
rnacentral:rRNA from 1 species